ACGAACGCUGGCGGCGUGCCUAACACAUGCAAGUCGAGCGGAGGGGAAAGGAGCUUGCUCUUUGAACCUCAGCGGCGGACGGGUGAGUAACACGUGGGUAACCUGCCCUUGAGAGGGGGAUAACAGGUCAAAAGGCCUGCUAAUACCGCAUAACGCUAAGAAGCUGCAUGGCGUCUUAGCCAAAGGUUAAUUCCGCUCAAGGAUGGGCCCGCGGCCCAUUAGCUAGUUGGUGAGGUAAUGGCUCACCAAGGCGACGAUGGGUAGCCGGCCUGAGAGGGUGGUCGGCCACACUGGGACUGAGACACGGCCCAGACUCCUACGGGAGGCAGCAGUGGGGAAUAUUGCGCAAUGGGGGAAACCCUGACGCAGCGACGCCGCGUGAGCGAUGAAGGCCUUCGGGUUGUAAAGCUCUGUCUUCCCUGACGAUAAUGACGGUAAGGGAGGAGGAAGCCACGGCUAACUACGUGCCAGCAGCCGCGGUAAUACGUAGGUGGCGAGCGUUGUCCGGAAUUACUGGGCGUAAAGGGUGCGUAGGCGGCUCUUUAAGUGGGAUGUGAAAUCCCUGGGCUCAACCCAGGAACUGCAUUCCAAACUGGAGAGCUAGAGUGCAGGAGAGGAAAGCGGAAUUCCCAGUGUAGCGGUGAAAUGCGUAGAGAUUGGGAGGAACACCAGUGGCGAAGGCGGCUUUCUGGACUGUAACUGACGCUGAGGCACGAAAGCGUGGGGAGCAAACAGGAUUGGAUACCCUGGUAGUCCACGCUGCAAACGAUGGGUACUAGGUGUAGGGGGCGAAGCCCUCUGUGCCGCAGCUA
rnacentral:rRNA from 1 species